GGGGCUGUAGCUCAGUGGUAGAGCUCUUGCCUACCAUGUGUGAGGUCCUGGGUUCGAUCCUCAGCACCA
rnacentral:tRNA from 1 species